CAUUUCCUCUUCGAGUAAACCGUAAAAAAAAAAAAAAAAUCACGUAUUACAUUGACAAAAGAAAAAUGUUUUAACGGGAAAACGAUUUUUUUUUCAAUCACGAAUGACAGUAUUAAAAAUUAAUUAAUUAAAUGCAAAUAUAUAACUAAUUAAUUAAACUCAUUAAAUGUUAGUGUGGUGUAUUAUUUUUAGCUUCAUGACGAAGGAUAUGUUCGAGAUAAUUUCAGAUGAGAAGAACGAGUUUUAAAUUUCUCAGUGAUACAUUAUCCCUGAGAGGAUUAAAGUCUCUGCAUUUCUGCGGUAAGAUUAUGUUUCAAGGCUUUUUGAUAUGUACCAGUCGUUUCAAGUUCUUGGAUUCACAUAAACGCGAUUUGGCGUUGAAUUCACACAGUGCACACUUUAUUAUUAAAAUGACAUUAGUGGAGUGACUGAAUGUUCGGAAAGUGUAAUUUCUCUGGUCGAAAUAGAUGGUUAUAGUGUGCCAUGCAAGUGUGAAGUAAUCGUUAAUCUUGUUGUCUCUGAAGCAACGUUUUGGGUGUGCGAGGGAACCAGGUUGUAAAAAUAAAAAAAAAAAUAAAUAAAUAAUGAAGCGAUUUUCGUUUCUAUUGUUUAUUUUUCUAUUUAUUGGAAUUGAAUUUGUUUUUUCUCAAUUGGAAAUUGAUAUUGAGAAUAUUUAUUUUCCCGAUCAAAUCGAGUACAUCAAGUUGUAUCAAAGGUAUUGUAGGGGAAAUCUUAUUUAUUGGCCUGAUGGUCGAUGUUAUCAACAAGGAGAGCAAGGACCCUGCAAUAUCGGAAGAAUCCUACAAUUCGACAGAAGGUACUUUAAACCAUUUUGUACCGACGAACACAAUUUUUCAAUGGGCAAGUGAACGACACAUGGUAAGAGAGUUUUCCACUGGUAUUUUUAUCAUUGUUAAGCAUUCAACUCUCUUCCAUGAAGGAUGGCAGCACUAAUCAAACAAAUUCAAUUUCUUCAUCUAUAUAGAAAAAUUAUAAAUAAAAUAAUUUUUACAUUCAUCACUAGAUACAUAUAAUAAUUAUAUAUACAAAUAUGAUUUUAACAAAUACCUAAUUUUUUUAUUAUAAUAAUAAAAAUAAUAAACAAAUUUAUUUAUUAAAUAAAUAAAUAGUUAAAUUAAUAAUUUUUUAUUUACCAAUAUAAAUUUAAAUAUUAUUGAAAUAAUUUUUAUUAACCAAAAUCUGAUAUAAUAAAAUUUUAAUGAAUAUAAAAUAUUAUAAUUAGAGUUAAUUAAUAUUAUUUAUAAUAUUAACGAUUCAGAGAAAAUGUACCGGAAAUCGAGACAUUGUAUAAUAAAGUAUUUAUAAUACUUUGAAUAAUUUAGAUACAACUGUAUAGUAUAUUAUUAUUCUUCAUUAUGUUUUUUUUCAAUUAAAAAUCGAAUAAUUACCGCAUUUUAGGAUACGUACAAUAAUUUCUCAAAUAACAUAUUUGGCUUCGCGUUUCUUUUUUUUUUUUAAUUUGUAAACGAGUGAUGCUUAAUAUUGAUAUGUACACGAAAAAUGAUGGGCUUGACGAGGAAAGAUAAGGGAAUCGUAAUGUUUUAUCAAGUUCUUAAUGUUAAUGCAACACGUAUAUAGGAUUAAAAUAAUCAAUGAUUAAAUUUUUUAUGAGAAGUUCCGCUUGAAUUAUUGAUAUUAUUAUGAUGUGUAAUACUUUCGAUAAUAAAAAAAAGUCACAAAAUA